AUUGAACGCUGGCGGCAUGCUUUACACAUGCAAGUCGAACGGCAGCGGGGAGGAGCUUGCUUCUCUGCCGGCGAGUGGCGAACGGGUGAGUAAUACAUCGGAACGUGUCGAGAUGAGGGGGAUAACCACCCGAAAGGGUGGCUAAUACCGCAUAAAUUCUGAGGAAGAAAGCUGGGGACCUAGGAAUAGGCCUAGCGCUUUUUGAGCGGCCGAUGUCGGUUUAGCUAGUUGGUGUGGUAAAGGCUCACCAUGGCGAAGAGCUGUAGCGGGUCUGAGAGGAGGAUCCGCCACCCGGGGACUGAGACACGGCCCAGACUCCUACGGGAGGCAGCAGUGGGGAAUGUUGGACAAUGGUGGCAACCCUGAUCCAGCCAUGCCGCGUGUAUGAAGAAGGCCUUAGGGUUGUAAAGUACUUUUGUUAGGGAAGAAAAGUCAGCUGUGAAUAAUGGCUGAUACUGACGGUACCUAAAGAAUAAGCACCGGCUAACUACGUG
rnacentral:rRNA from 1 species